CAUAUCAAUAAGCGGAGGAAAAGAAACCAACAGGGAUUGCCCUAGUAACGGCGAGUGAAGCGGCAUCAGCUCAAAUUUGAAAUCUGGCUCUUUCAGGGUCCGAGUUGUAAUUUGCAGAGGGCGCUUUGGUGUUGGCAGCGGUCCAAGUUCCUUGGAACAGGACGUCACAGAGGGUGAGAAUCCCGUACGUGGUCGCUGGCCUUCGCCGUGUAAAGCCCCUUCGACGAGUCGAGUUGUUUGGGAAUGCAGCUCUAAAUGGGAGGUAAAUUUCUUCUAAAGCUAAAUACUGGCCAGAGACCGAUAGCGCACAAGUAGAGUGAUCGAAAGAUGAAAAGCACUUUGGAAAGAGAGUCAAAUAGCACGUGAAAUUGUUGAAAGGGAAGCGCUUGCAGCCAGACUUGCCUGUAGUUGCUCAUCUAGGCUCUUUGCCUAGUGCACUCUUCUGCGGGCAGGCCAGCAUCAGUCUAGGCGGUUGGAUAAAGGCCUCUGUCAUGUACCUCCUCUCGGGGAGGCCUUAUAGGGGAGGCGUAAUGCAACCAGCCUGGACUGAGGUCCGCGCAUCUGCUAGGAUGCUGGCGUAAUGGCUGUAAGCGGCCCGUCUUGAAACACGGACCAAGGAGUCUAACAUCUAUGCGAGUGUUUGGGUGUCAAGCCCGAGCGCGUAAUGAAAGUGAACGGAGGUGGGAUCCCUUUAGGGUGCACCAUCGACCGAUCCUGAUGUCUUCGGAUGGAUUUGAGUAAGAGCAUGGCUGUUGGGACCCGAAAGAUGGUGAACUAUGCUUGAAUAGGGUGAAGCCAGAGGAAACUCUGGUGGAGGCUCGCAGCGGUUCUGACGUGCAAAUCGAUCGUCAAAUUUGGGCAUAGGGGCGAAAGACUAAUCGAACUAUCUAGUAGCUGGUUCCUGC
rnacentral:rRNA from 1 species